rnacentral:rRNA from 1 species
UAGGGAAUAUUGGACAAUGGGGGCAACCCUGAUCCAGCCAUGCCGCGUGAGUGAAGAAGGCCCUCGGGUUGUAAAGCUCUUUUGUCCGGAAAGAAAAGCUUCGGGUUAAUACCCCGGGGUUCUGACGGUACCGGAAGAAUAAGCACCGGCUAACUUCGUGCCAGCAGCCGCGGUAAUACGAAGGGUGCAAGCGUUACUCGGAAUUACUGGGCGUAAAGCGUGCGUAGGUGGUUGUUUAAGUCUGAUGUGAAAGCCCUGGGCUCAACCUGGGAAUGGCAUUGGAAACUGGGCAGCUAGAGUGCGGUAGAGGGUAGUGGAAUUCCCGGUGUAGCAGUGAAAUGCGUAGAGAUCGGGAGGGACAUCUGUGGCGAAGGCGACUGCCUGGACCAGCACUGACACUGAGGCACGAAAGCGUGGGGAGCAAACA